rnacentral:rRNA from 1 species
CCAGACUCCUACGGGAGGCAGCAGUGAGGAAUAUUGGUCAAUGGCCGCAGGGCUGAACCAGCCAAGUCGCGUGAGGGAUGACGGUCCUAUGGAUUGUAAACCUCUUUUGUCAGGGAGCAAAGGGCGCCACGUGUGGCGCUUUGCGAGUACCUGAAGAAAAAGCAUCGGCUAACUCCGUGCCAGCAGCCGCGGUAAUACGGAGGAUGCGAGCGUUAUCCGGAUUUAUUGGGUUUAAAGGGUGCGCAGGCGGAAUGUCAAGUCAGCGGUAAAAUUUCGGGGCUCAACCCCGUCGUGCCGUUGAAACUGGCGGGCUGGAGUUGGAGAGAAGUACGCGGAAUGCGCGGUGUAGCGGUGAAAUGCUUAGAUAUCGCGCAGAACCCCGAUUGCGAAGGCAGCGUACCGGCUCCACACUGACGCUGAGGCACGAAAGCGUGGGUAUCGAACAGGAUUAGAUACCCUGGUA